rnacentral:lncRNA from 1 species
AACUAGAGGCUUACUAGGUACAUGUUGUGUGUGACGUCCUCGAUUCAAUCGUACACUAACCAUACACGCAAAUGUGUACGAUCAAGAUCAAGGACUCACGGGAAGAUAUCACAACACAACUCUAGACACAAAUUAAAAUAAUACAAGCUUUAUAUUACAAGCCAGGGGCCUCGAGGGCUCGAAUACAUAAGAUCGAAUACACAAGAGUCAGUGGAAGCAACAAUAUCUAAGUACAGACAUGAGCUAAACAAGUUUGCCUUAAGAAGGCUAGCACAAAAGCAACAACGAUCGAAAAGGCAAGGCCUCCUGCCUGGGAGCCUCCUAACUACUCCUAGUCGUCUGCGGUCUUCACGUAGUAGUAGGCAUCCUCCGGGUAGUAGUAGUCAUCAGUGGCGUUGUCUGGCUCCUGGGAUCCGUCAUCUGGUCGCAACAAUCGGGUAUGGGGGAAAAGAAGUAGUAAAGCAACCGUGAUUACUCAUCCAAAGUACUCGCAAGACUUACAUCAGAUCUAAACUAAGUAUGCAUCUGUAUCAAAGGAAUGGGUUGUAUCUGUGGACUAAACUGCAGAAUGACAGAAGGGAAGGGAAAACCCUAGCCUAUCGAAGACUAGCAUCUUCUAGAACCCACCAUCUUGCAGCAACAGGAGGGAGUAGAGUAGUAUAAAGUAAAGUAGUAGAAGUGUUAUCAACCUUGGCCAGAGAUCCUUUCUCGACUCCCUGCGAGAAAGCAAUCCCAGAGCCAUACUAUCCAAUUCUCAUCACCAUCCAGUUCUCAUCACAAGUAUCCAGUUCUAGUUGUAUCGAUCGGGAUACAACUCCAAGUGUCUGUUACCGUAGGACAGGCUAUGAAUAGAUGUUUUCUUCCCUACAGAGGUGCACCAACUUACCCACCAUGCUCGAUUAACUCCGGCCGGACACACUUUCCUGAUUCAUGCCCGGCCUCGGCCAAACAAUACGCCGCAACCCGACCUAGGCUUAAUAGAGAGGCCAGCACGCCGGACUAAACCUAUGCCCCUAGGGGUCAUGGGCCAUCUCCCCAGGAACUCCUGCACGUUGCGUGGGCGGACGGUGAGCAGACCUAGCUACCUCCUUCAACAAGGCAGGAGCUUACGCAGUCCAACCCGGCGCGUGCCGCUCAGUCGCUGACGUCUAUUAAGCUUCGGCUGAUGUAUACGACGCAGAACGCCCAUACUAUGCCCACGUGAUGGUUAGUGCUAUCAGGCCAGAGGCCCCUCGGAUCAAAUAUCCAAAUCGUAGUGGAUUAGGAACGCGCGAUAACGAGCAGAGACUCACGAUCGAUGUGACCCCAUCGCCCCGUCUCGAGUACUUGCGGCUAGGGCUAAGAAUGCCCGGCCACGCCUCGUAAGUAUCUCGCGGGCACCUUCCAGGUCAACCCGACUCCACAUCACUCGCUAUUAAGCUCGCGCGGGUACCCCUCAGGGUCAACCCGUCUUAAUAACAUGGCUCAGUGUAAAGUCAUAGUAACCAUAAUAACUGUAUGUCUAACACCAAGGGGAAAACCCGAGGAAUCACCCCCGGUGAAUUCCGCUCGAUGUUAUCAUCAAGGUGAACGUAAGAGGAUCCACCCUCGAGGUUCACAUUUGAUGAGUUGCACGACAGAGCUGUAACGGAAGUGGUUAAGAAGGAAAUCACCCUUGAUGACAUCGACCGUAUAGCUACACUACAGAGAUCUCAUCAGGAGUGAUGUAAGAGGUUCCACCCUCGGCACUCGAUAGUAACUCUGCAGAGUCAUACAACUAGGGGGUGAUGUGCGGUGUCGGGGCCUGGACGUCGAUCACGUUGAUCGAGUCAUCGAACAUAAAGCAAGGCAACUAGGACAAGGUGGGGUCACUGAUGGAUCACUAACCAACCUAUACUAAGCAGUUUAGGACAAGCAGGUAAGGUAUGAAAGCAGGUAACAACAACAGUCUAUGCAUCAGAGUAGGAUCAUACAGAAAGCAGUAGCAGUUCUAAUGCAAGCAUGAGAGGGAAAGAAAUGGGCGAUAUCGGAAUGCCCAAGGGGGGUUUGCUUGCCUGGUUGCUCAGACAAGAAGGAGAGGUCGUCGGUGACGUAGUCGAUCACAGGGGCAUCAACAGCGGUCUCGAGGUCUACCGGAGAAGAAAAGGGGAAAGAAACAAUAAAUACACACAAGCAUAAGCAUAACAAGACAAUAAGCGGUGCUAAAGGUGUUCUAACGCAGCGCUAGGCGAUACUGGCGAAGGAGGAUAAUAUCCGGGAAAGUUUUCCCGGUUCCGAACGUCCGUCAGACAGAUGAACCAAAGGGAAAAAGUUCAACGUUUGCUAUGCUAGAGACGUGUGGUAGACGAACGGAGGGCGUAUUCGGAUUCGUCUCGUCGUUCUGAGCAACUUUCAUAUAUAAAGUUUUUCCAACCGAACUUUCUGUGAUCUACAUGACAGUGUCAUUGACAUCCAUGUUAGAGUUCAGUUGCUUGAUCGAAACUGCAUUUGAAAAGUGUCGCUUGAAGUUAAUUACAGAAACUGUUAAAAUAUACGAACAUAAGAUUUUGUGAUUUUCAUAGGAUUUAAUCCUUACAUCUUUUAAAUUUGGUCCAAUGGGAUGUUUUGAACCUUGUCAAGUGUACUCUCUACCUGUAUUAUUUUUACUCAUAUUAACCAUCGUUUAGUCGCUGUUUAGGGACUGCUCAGAGGGUUAGUCAACGUAGGAAUAGCAAAGCUAGCUACUGCUACAGUAACAUUCAGUUACUGUAGCAGAGCAGCAGAGGAGCAACGGCAAAGGGUGGGCGUGGCCACACUCUACACACACACAGCACGCAUGCACGUGGGCACGCCGGCGGCCACGGUGCUGGCCAGGGGCGCAGCGCGCGAGUGGUAGCGGCAGCGGGUGAGCGGGCGUGGUCCGGGCGGCAGCCGGGGCGGGGCCGACGCAGUCGGCAGGCGCGGGGACAGUGGCAGGCGGCAGCAGCCGUGGUCGCACGUAGCAGCAGCACAAAGAGAAGGCGGCGGCGGCGGCAGGCGCAAACGGCAGCGGUAGCAGGGGCAACAUGAGGCAGUGGACGAGCGCACAAGCGGGCAGAGGCGGGCACGGCCGCACGGGGCUGGGCAAGGGCGCGACGGGGGAGUGCCCUGGGACGGCCAGCACGCGGCGGGAGCGCGGCAGGAGCAGGCAUCGCCGGCCAUGGUGGACGGCGGCGGUGGCUGGGUGUUAGUUCGAUUCGAGCGGGCGAGCAUGGAUUCGGCUAUGCAUUCGUCACGCACGCCUCCUGGGAGCACUAGAUGCACGGCAACGACAUUGGUUCACUUCGGGACGGACCCCAUCAACGACAACGUGCUCGGCAGUGGUGCCAUGGCCACGGUGGUGCACAGGCCCAUGGGGACGGCGACGGAAACGAGCAAACGAAUGAAGGGGGAAUAAAGGGGAGCUCACAUCGGAGUACAUGGAUGGCUCGGAGGCGUCGGGGUGGUCAGGGUGGUGCGGAUCCGGCGAUGGCAUCGGCGGGGCAGUGAAAGGGGGACGGCUCGAUCCGCACGGCG